UUGUUCAUUGCAGAUGACUUUUCGUACAUAUUUGAUAGUGCCUUCAACAGAUCGGAUGGGUUUUCUCCUUGACGAUGUUGAACGCCACGUAGUCAAUCUGAUCAGCCUUAGAGCCUGCCGAUCCUUGAGCUUCCAGUCCUCCUCCUUCAUGGACUCUGGCUUCACCUCGUUCAAGGGUUCGUGAAGAUCUUUCUGGUACAGAUAGUCUUCGAUCUGCAUCUUCUAGAAACCAAAAUCGGAUCCAUCAAACUUCUCAAUUCCAAACUUCGAUCCUUCCAUCUUCAGUGAUCGCCCAAGCUUUGAUACCAGUUGUUCGGACUGCGUGUAACUCCGCACUAGUAUGAUAUUGUCCUCUUUGGGCCGAGCCCUCACGAAUAUUUUUCUUGGG
rnacentral:lncRNA from 1 species